UUAAACGGCCGCGGUAUUUUGACCGUGCAAAGGUAGCGCAAUCACUUGUCUUUUAAAUGAAGACCUGUAUGAAUGGUGAAACGAGGGCUUAACUGUCUCCCCCCUCUAGUCAAUGAAAUUGAUUUACCCGUGCAGAAGCGGGUAUAACCAUACAAGACGAGAAGACCCUCUGGAGCUUAAGACAAAAGACCAACUAUGUUAAAGACCACAAAAAAUGAUAAUAAACCAAAUAGCACUGAUCCCAGUCUUCGGUUGGGGUGACCGCGGGAGAAAACAAAGCUCCCAUGCGGAAUGGGGAGACCCCCUAAAACUAAGAAAGACAUUUCUAAGGCACAGAACAUCUGACCACAGAGAUCCGGCUAAAUGCCGAUCAACGGACCAAGUUACCCUAGGGAUAACAGCGCAAUCCCCUUCCAGAGUCCAUAUCGACAAGGGGGUUUACGACCUCGAUGUUGGAUCAGGAC
rnacentral:rRNA from 1 species